rnacentral:rRNA from 1 species
GACGAACGCUGGCGGCGUGCUUAACACAUGCAAGUCGAACGGAAAGGCCCUGCUUUUGUGGGGUGCUCGAGUGGCGAACGGGUGAGUAACACGUGAGUAACCUGCCCUUGACUUUGGGAUAACUUCAGGAAACUGGGGCUAAUACCGGAUAGGAGCUCCUGCUGCAUGGUGGGGGUUGGAAAGUUUCGGCGGUUGGGGAUGGACUCGCGGCUUAUCAGCUUGUUGGUGGGGUAGUGGCUUACCAAGGCUUUGACGGGUAGCCGGCCUGAGAGGGUGACCGGCAAAAUGGGACUGGGAUUCCGGCCCGGAUCCCACCGGGGGGAAGAGGGGGGAAUAUUGCACAAUGGGCGGAAGCCUGAUGCAGCAACGCCGCGUGCGGGAUGACGGCCUUCGGGUUGUAAACCGCUUUCGCCUGUGACGAAGCGUGAGUGACGGUAAUGGGUAAAGAAGCACCGGCUAACUACGUG